AUUGAACGCUGGCGGCAGGCUUAACACAUGCAAUUCGAUCGAGCGGCGUACGGGUGCGUAAUGUCUGGGAAACUGCCUGUUGGAGGGGGCUAACUACUGGAAACGGUAGCUAAUACCGCAUACCAUCAGAUGUGCCCAGAUGGGAUUAGCUAGUAGGUUGGGUAAUGGCUCACCUAGUCGACGAUCCCUAGCUGGUCUGAGAGGAUGACAAGCCACACGUGAACGGAAGCACGUGACAGACUCCUACGGGAGGCAGCAGGAUGGAAUAUUGCACAAUGGGCGAAAGCCUGAGGCCGCGAUGCCGGGGGUGUGAAGAAGGCCUUCGGGUUGUAGAGCACUGUCAGCGAAGAGGCGUUACUAGCAGAAGAAGCACAGGCAAAAUCCGUACCAGCAGCCGCGGUAAUAC
rnacentral:rRNA from 1 species